AUCCACUUAUACGGCCAAAACAAAUGAGUACAAACGUUAACAAGAAUGCUAGAAUAAACAUAGAUCACAAGGCUCGAAAAAGAUGUUCAGAUUACAAAAAUAACUCCAGCAUUUUAGAGUCUGCAUUAAAAAUCUUAAAGGCUGACAGUUAGCACGGUCACCCCCAUCAGUGAUAUAGUUAAAGCACAAACUAUCAAUGUGAGACUGAAAAUCUUCACAGGCCAUGAAUGUUCUACUACCUCUGGGAAAUCUGCUCCCUUAGUUCAUCUUCCAGUCAAACCUGCUUUUGCCGUCUCUAAAGGACUCCUAAAAAACUCUCAUCAAGCUUGUGAAGUGAGCUCUUUCUCCUAAGCAUUCAAGUUAGAAAUGACCUUGAGCAUCAUUCUUAGCCAUCAAGGAAGUCAAAUAAUGACUAGAGAAAUAAGAAUAUCGAGUCACUUGUGGAUAACAUGGACGAGAAAAUAAAGACAACAAUCAUAAAGAGAAAUACUCACCGCAAAGUAAGUUGAACCGACUCCGACGCAAGAUCUUUUGCAAGUUUAUCAAAGAUUUUAGAGGAAUAAAGUACCAU
rnacentral:lncRNA from 1 species